rnacentral:rRNA from 1 species
GUGAGGAAUUUUCCGCAAUGGGCGAAAGCCUGACGGAGCAAUGCCGCGUGAAGGAUGAAGGCCUAUGGGUUGUAAACUUCUUUUCUCAGAAAAGAAUUAUGACGGUAUCUGAGGAAUAAGCAUCGGCUAACUCUGUGCCAGCAGCCGCGGUAAGACAGAGGAUGCAAGCGUUAUCCGGAAUGAUUGGGCGUAAAGCGUCUGUAGGUUGUUUAAAAAGUAUUAUGUCAAAGAUUAGGGCUUAACCCUAGAUAGGCAGAAUAAACUUUUAAGCUAGAGUUUUGGAGAGGCAGAAGGAAUUCCCGGUGGAGCGGUGAAAUGCGUAGAUAUCGGGAGGAACACCAAAGGCGAAGGCACUCUGCUGGGCCAAUACUAACACUGAGAGACGAAAGCGAGGGGAGCAAAUGGGAUUAGAAACCCCGGUAGUCC